GACGAACGCUGGCGGCGUGCUUAACACAUGCAAGUCGAACGGAAAGGCCCUGCUUUUGUGGGGUGCUCGAGUGGCGAACGGGUGAGUAACACGUGAGUAACCUGCCCUGACUUUGGGAUAACUUCAGGAAACUGGGGCUAAUACCGGAUAGGAGCUCCUGCUGCAUGGGGGGGGUUGGAAAGGUUCGGCGGUUGGGGAUGGACUCGCGGCUUAUCAGCUUGUUGGUGGGGUAGUGGCUUACCAAGGCUUUGACGGGUAGCCGGCCUGAGAGGGUGACCGGCCACAUUGGGACUGAGAUACGGCCCAGACUCCUACGGGAGGCAGCAGUGGGGAAUAUUGCACAAUGGGCGGAAGCCUGAUGCAGCAACGCCGCGUGCGGGAUGACGGCCUUCGGGUUGUAAACCGCUUUCGCCUGUGACGAAGCGUGAGUGACGGUAAUGGGUAAAGAAGCACCGGCUAACUACGUG
rnacentral:rRNA from 1 species